rnacentral:rRNA from 1 species
AUGCCACCGCGCAAGCAGAAGAACAAGGUUAAUCCAACCAAGAGGAAGGAUGUAGCAAAGAUACCUUGGUUCCUAAUGGCGUCUGGCAAAUCUAUUGACGCUCAAGUUGAAGCUGCUACAAGUGGUGUUCCUACACCAACAAAUACCACCGACUCAUCUUCAACAUUUGACGAUGCAAGUGAGUGCUGCCAUCUAUCCCUUGAGGUCAUCCGAUUCUUGACCCCAGACUUGGUAUCUGAACACAUCAAGGGUGAAGCAAAAAUGUAUGGCAGGAUAAAUAAUAACAAUGAAAGUGAUUCAUAUCCUUAUGUGUCCUGCUUAAGGAAUAUGAAAGAAAGUGUUUCAUAUACUGAUAAUGAGAGAUCCAAUGUCGAAGCCAAGGGAGACAACAACGCACAGGAGGACUAUGAACCGUCUUCUUCGCGCAAAAAAUCUAAUAGCAUUAUAAUCUUAUCUUCAGAUGACGAAGAUAUUGAUGCUUAG